GAAGCACGGACAGUGAUCGGAUGGCUGAGCACAAAGGGUUUUGAUUCUGGAUGUUUUCCACUUGGGCAGCUAUGUUCUGGCUACUCAUAUGAUUGCACUUCUAGAAGAGGAGCAGCUCUUACAGCCCUGAAGACAUAAUGGAGCCCUGGGGAUCUCUGACACAACAAGCUCUGAAAGCUGCGAGCACUUAGCCAAAUUGACUUCAGUUUACCAAAAUAAUAAUAAUUAAAAAAAAAAAAAAAAAAAAAAAAAAAAUUAAAAAAAAAAAAAAAAAAAAAAAAAAAAAAAAAAAAAAAAAAAAAAAGCAAGAAAGAAGAAAGCAGUUUGGGGGGCUGCUGGACAAGUAACUAUAUAAAUGGUUAAAGACAUUUCAGCUCCUAGAAGACAGUCUCAGUGACCUGUAAUGUCAGUAUGUAAUGGGCAAGCAUAAAGGGAAGGGAAUGUAAUUUAAGUGCUAGAAGAGUGGGGGAAAAAAAAAGUGAAAAGGAGGAGAGUAGAAACAUUAGUGCAGUGGCAGUUUGCUUACCCUUUAUUAAAACAUUUCUUUAACACAGUGUAUAUGUAUCUGCAAGCACAAUACGGACUAUGGCAUUAAUAGGAGUUAAGAGAAUAGAAUUAUGCUGUGUGCAUAAUCUGUAACAUUCACAUGCUCCACUACAGGGAAACAUUUACCCAUAUUCAGACUCGUGUUCCAGGGACUUUUGAGUCAUUUUCCUAAAGUCCAUGGUAAAAGGAAACACUGAAUUAUAACUGAUACCCCAUGGUUCUUCAGCUGCUUAGUCCUUCUUGAAUAGCCCUGGGAGAAAACUCAGGUAAUUCUAAACUACCAUGUAGACUUGAAGUCCUCUUGGUUUGUCACAGUGUCAUUUUCACAGGAGUAAAUACAUUGUAUUAUGUUUGGCUUAUAAAUUUUGAAUGCUGGAUGUUUCAAUAUGGGAGAUAAUGACCUUCUGAUUAGUUCCACAAAAAUGCCCAAUAUUAUAAGAACAAAACCAGAAAAAUUAAAAUGGAACAAAUGUUGAGGAAAACAGUUUCGAAAACUCUAUUUGCUCUGUUUGGAGAUUUAAGAAUGCAAGAAACCUUCUUUGUCACCAAAUCCGAUCUCCUGUUGUCACAGUCAGAGCCUCAUACAUGUAAUUUAUCACAUACUUGUUUUUCUGAGGGUAAAUGUGCUACAUGUCUCACAAUAACUGAAUAAAUGUUCUUAUUUCAGUGUGACUUAGAUUAGUCACUUGUGGGUGCCAAGAGAAUUGAUCUGCUAUGGCAACUCCAGCAUUAUAAAACAGCCUGCAGGUUUUUCCAGAUGAAUCAGUCAUUGUAAAUGAACAAAUCUUAAUUUUGGCUUUCUGUAUGUGACCUCCAUGACCACAUGCCAGAAAAUUAUGAAUAAACAUGGUUUUGAACAAGUA